rnacentral:lncRNA from 1 species
UAUGCAGCUAGAUUGCAUGGUGAAGCAUGCACAUAUAGAUUCCCAUAUUUCUCAACCAAAAUUUGUAGGUUACUACACCCAAAAUCUGCAAGGGCAACUUUUUUCUUCUUCAGAUUUUCAACUUUGCGGAGCAAUUUUUCCUCGUCGGUAACUGGAAUUGGUCAUGGUGUGAAUACUUCUGGGUAUGAUACCAAACUAGAGGGGUUGAGCGCGCUUUGCUAUGCUGUUCGUGUUGUUGGGAUUUUUUAAACACCCACUCUAUUUUAAAAUAUAAGGUGUAUUACUUUUUCUAAAAAAUAUAUUUUUUAAAGUUUGAUCAAAUUUGUAGAGAAAUAUAUAAAAAAUCCAUAACAUCAAAUUGAGACGAUUAGAUUCAUCAUGAAAUGAAUUUUCAUAUUUAUUUUGUGUAAUAUGUGGAUAUCGAUACUUUUUACUCUGAACUUGGUUAAAACUAUUAGCUCUUAUAUUUUGGAGCGUGUUUUAUUUUUAUUUGUAAUGCGGUGAUUUGGUUGGCCUUUUCUAGUGUGAUUUUGUGUUGUCUCCAUGCAACUUACUUUAUGUGGGAAAUUUCGACGCUGGCCGCAUGUACAUACUACCUUGAUGCUGUAAUAUCACAUGUUGACGCCUCUUUUUUCUUUUUCCUCAGUGGUGGGAGGGUGCACAAGAUCAAUACGUUUGCAAAGCCGAUUGCAGUAGAUUGAUUUGAAAAACCGUUGGUCCGUUCAUAAUCAUAAACCAAAUUCAAAUUGAAUACAUUAAUUGAAUGAAAGAGCAUGGAAAUUAGGGUUCAUAAUCAUAAGCCAAAUUCGAAAUGAAUAUGUCAAUUGAAUGAAAGAGCGUGGAAAUUAGGGUCCAUAAUCAUAAACCAAAUUCAAAUUGAAUGUGUUAGUUGAAUGAAAUAGCGUGGAAAUUAGGGAACAUAGUGAACUUAGGAAUUGAAUGUGAGAGCUCCUUGAAUAUUAUUGACCAAGUCAAAAUCGGGUGACCCGAUUCUAAUUUCUAAAUUGAAGGCCUCAAUUAAUUGUGAAGCCUUAAAAAUUUGGAAGCAUGGUGUAUAUUAGUUUAAAAGAAUUGAAUGAUAUAGCUUUAAGAAAUUAUUGACUUGGUAACAUCGGAUGGUCAAGUUUUAAUUGAAGACCUCAAUUGAAUGUGGGUCCUUCAAAACUAAGGAGCUUAGUGUUAUAGAGGAUGGGUAAGUGAAGCAGCCCAGUCAUUCCAAAGAUUAGAAUAUAAUGUCCUCUUUCCAUUCUCAUUUCCCCGCUCUUAAUUAAAUUUCUUCCUUACAGUCAUGUGUAAAAGUGACAUACGAUGCCAGAUGUGUUGUCGUUCAGAGGUGAGCUGUUGCCACCUUUCUUGGUCAGAGCAAAGAACCGAUAUCCCCACAAAAAGAGAAGAAGAGCAAAGAACCGAUUAGUUACAUUUAUAUUCAAUAAUUAUAUAUGUAUAAAUAUAAAAACUCUAUUCAUCAUCUAGGGUGCAGAAUAGUUUAUUCUUCAUCCAAGAU